GAAACCAUAUGGCUUAAUCCAGAGAGAGAGAAAGGAAAAUAAAUAUGGAGAUGUAGAAUGUAUCAAGAGAAUAGAUUAAAUAUGUCUGCUUAAACAAACAACAACCAGAGAAACCAGACUAGAGGAGGGAAGAGAUAAGAAGAAAAGGAAGGAAGAAUAUAUCUAUAUAAUAAGAAUUGUCUGAGAAUUAAACCAGACAAUGCAACCAUGCUGUUCUGGAGGAGGGGCUGUCUGGUUCAUCGGUGUCAAUCCCACUCUCGUAGAUACACAGUUACCAGGUGCGGAGGGACGUGGUUUGUUGUAGGCGGGUCCUGCUUCUAUUGUGGGCCUGCUGUCGUUCCCUGAAGGUUCCCCACCUGUGGCCCAUUAGGUUGUCCAGGUGGGUCCCUGGAAACAAUCUGCCUCUUUUCCUCCCAGACUCUUGGGUUUCAAAAUUCUUUGGUGUCAACAUGGCUUUGUUUGAGAGACAUGGGAACUUUGGAUCCCCCUACUUCUCCUCCAUGUUGGCCCCUUCCUUCAACCCCUCACUUCUGAGGAACUGCUGCUUAGAUCCUCUGGGGGAGGGUCUAACUGAGCAAUGACCAGGUGCCAGCCUGCCCCCAGGAACGUGGUUGAGACUGCGCUGCUGCUGGUACCCAGAGAUUGCGACUGGGUGCCAGCCCACCCCAGAAAAAGUUCGUGUGAUUUUUUAACAGCAGCAUUUCAGGCAUUAUGGAAAAUCACAACACCAUCUAGUGCCAGGCUUCUUCAUUAACCUCCUUAUUCCAACACCAGUGAAUGUGAUUGUUCUCUGGUGUCUGCUGGGACCUUUGCCUGUGGGGUGGCCUCACAGCCUCUACCAAAUGUCCUCCCUGCAGGGGAAGUGCCACUCCCCAGUGGCCCAUGGACCCCUUGGAGCUUGCUCUCUGCUCCUAGGGAUUUGCCCUUCCCACCAGAGCACCGCCAGGUAUCAACCUGUGGAGUUUCAGACUCUGCGCUCCCUGUGUAUAGUCUUAAUGAAAUUUAAACCCUCUCCUUUCUCCUUUAUCCCUUUUUUGUUGAGUCCUUGUGGCUGUUUCCACUUUUCCACUUUCUCUCCAGAUACUUUUGGGGGGGGGUGCUUUUCCCAUACUCUCCCCUCCCCUGUCUCCAACCUCUCUCCACAAGCAAAACCAGCUCCCUGCCCUCUGUGGCUUCUCUCCCUGCUGGUUCACCUCUCCGUGCCGUGUACCUGCCAAGUUCUGUGGUUCAGGUUGUACAGAUUGCUGUGUUAAUCCUCAGAUCAGUUUUCUAGGUGUGCCAGAUGGUUCAUUGUUGAUCUGGCUGUGUUUCAGGGUUGAGAGACACAAAAAAAGCUUCCAUGCUGUGCCGCCAUCUUGGCCUCUCCUCCAAAAGGAGGUUCUUUACUCUGACAUUGCUAUGGAUGGCUUAGGAGGAAUCAGACACAACUGUAUUUAUGAUAGACUGUGUCUUAGUUACCUCAGUGUCCCGUUGCUCCAAAAGCAAAAGUGGUUCAAAUGGGUAAAAUACUUGGGUUCUUGAUGGUCCAAUGACCGCUUUUUGUCAUGCUAAAAGUUUCUCAGUUGUUGUGUUCUUUUUCAUAUUCCAAGACAAUUUCUGUUCACCAGUUCAUUAAAGGAUAUGAUAAGGACAUCCAGAUAGAAGAGAUGCAUAGGAUGUGGUAUAGGGAAGGAAUGUGGAGCUUCCUUUCUAUCUAGAGAUACUCCAUUCUCCCCAAAUCUCCCUGUGUUCCAAUUUCUGUCUUUUAUGUGUUUUAAUAGCUUGUUAUGUGUCCCACACCUGUGAGUACUACUAUAUUAAAAAGGGGUCAUCCUCUCUCCAGGGCCUAGCACUUCAAGAAGUGUUUUUGGAGUGUGCUGCAUGCACUCUGUUGUGUCUUUGGCUAUUCUAUCCUACUGCUCACAGUGGGGGAUUGUUUGGACCUUUCACCAGGUUUGCUUUGAUUUUUUCAUUGCAGUAACCCUGGAAAAAAGGGAAAAAAGUGUAUGUUGGAGGGGAAGACUUAUCUGGUACAAAGAGAAAAAUGAAAGGAGCGGGGGGGGGGGGGUGGGGAAAUAAAAAAGAAAAACAAGACAGGGAAUCAGGGAAACUAUAAGUCUUAAUCCAGAGAGAGAGACAGAGAGAGAGGAAAAUAAAGAAGAAGGAGAUACAGAAAAUGUGUAAAAAGAAUAGGAUAAAAAUGAUUAAACAAACAACCAGAACAGAGAAAGGGAACAAAAAGGAUAUAUAAUAAUAGGAAUUGACCAAAAAUCAAAUCAUAAACUAUGAGCUUGAUUCCAAAUGAAAGAAAAAAAAAGGAGGGGGCGGGUAGGAAAAAAAAAGGGAAGAGAGAAGAGAUGGAAAGAAAAGAAAAGAGAAAACAACAACAACAACAGACUAACAUACAAAAUAACUGGACAGUUGUCUGUUGGUGCCUGGAACCGGUGGCUGUGCUCGUCUGGAGAAGAGGCCGUAUGAUUCCAUCAGUGUCCAUCUCACUCCAGUAGAUAAGCAGUUACCAGCAUGGAGGGGUGGCAUUUGGGGAAGAGGUCCCUGGGCUGACUCUUCUCCUCUGCAGGCACUCGCACAUGGUCGGCUCCAGUGUGAAGAAAGUCACCCAACUCUGAUAACUCUAAUCUGUAGCUCCUAAGGCUGUUUGCAAAGUAGAAACUGGCUUUUUUGGUAUCUUUGUAUUUUUCAUUCCCCAGUCUGUGGUCCAGAGAGGUUUUUCUCUUACCCAAAUACAAUACCACACUUCUACAGCCUCCCUUCUCUUCCUUUUAUUUCUCCACCAACAGCAUUCCCCCACUCCAUGACUAUGCUGCUCUUUCUAUCUCUCCCAAUUCACAAACACGCAACUUGUCCUGCCAAGUUGUCUCUUUCCACCUGUGGAAAUUUUUUUGUCACUCUGCAGCCUCUAUGCCUGGGUAUUCCAAGCAUUCUGACCUCAAUACAGCUGUGGGGACAAGGGGAAUUCCGGUUCCCCUACUUCUCCACCAUCUUAACUCCACUCAGCAAAAUACAGUUUUAUUUUAUAGAGAUUUAAUUUUGGAUAUACUAUAUGGACAUUAUUUAGAGGUACUGUAUGCAGGCUUAGAUGAUUCCCAAUGUGUAGUACAUUUUUUCUGGGUCUUGGAGUCAAACUAAUUGAAAAAGCAAACAAGAAUAAGGAAGAUAAAAACCAAAACAUCACCUCUAGUAAAAAGCUGAUACAGGAGAACACAAUUUGUAUCAAUGGGCAAGUGGCAUUUCUAAUGGUGAACCGAAGAAUUAGAUAGGCAUUCCCACUCAACAGACUGAAAUGGGGCAGGGCUCUCCCCUAGAGAGGAGCAAAGCCUCUCUAGGAAAACAAACAAACAAACAAACAAACAAACAAACAAACAGAAUAUUUUAUCAGCAUGUAAAUCAUUCACAAGGGAAAGAGGAGUGUGUCCAAUAUUUCUUCCCAAACAUCAAGAAGAUGUUAUCCACUUUCUCUAGUGAGUGAAGUGGUAGUGUUCUGUAAAUGUGAAACCAAAGUGUUCUGUAAAUGUAGCUAUUCCUCAGGAAAAGAAACAAGUAGAGAAAAACCAUCUACAUGCUUUUUGGUAUUUUAGAAGGGGAAUAAGUAUUUUGUAUUAAAAUCAACAAGUUUAAAGGAAAAAAGAAAAAAAGGAAAAGAAUAUGAAAACAUAGCUUCUUAAUUACAGUUUCUAUCUAUAUAUUUUCAUUAUUCUUUGCUAGUGACAUUUUAAUAGAAUUUGAGAACUUUCUAUAGUGGUUAACUUGCUUUGGAAUUCCUUUGCCUGCCUAAUGAUUAUUUUUGGUCUUCUUUUCCUCCUACAAUUAUGCAUUAAGAAGAGCAUUCUGCAAUUUUACAAUUUUAGGGUCCACAAUUCUUCCAUUAAAACUUUUUGUUGCUGUUGUUAACUAAUCUUAAAAAAUAACAUGUUUGUCAUUCGAAGGAGAUUCUAAUUUCACUACAGUAAAUAUUAAAAAAAAAAAGGCUUACUGAGGAAUGUUAUAAACACAUAUUGUAGACAUUUCAUUAUUCCACAGGCAGUUAUGCUUUGACUAGCACAUCUGGACUGGGUGGCCACAGAAAGUACUACAGCAAAAAGGGAGCGGCCCCCACUCCCACAAUGUCACAUAAAUAUGGAGAGGGAAUAGGAAGUGACUUUGUUAGAAAAGAUGGCUUCUAGGGGUGCCUGGGUGGCUCAGUCAGUUAAGUAUCCGACUUGGUCUCAGGUCAUGAUCUCGCAGUUCAUGAGUUCGAACCUCGCAUCGGGCUCUGUACUGACAACUCAGAGUCUGGAGCCUACUUCAGAUUCUGUUUCUCUCUCUGCCCCUCCCCCACUCAGGAUCUGUCUCUCUCUGUCCGUCUUUCACUCAAAAAAUAAAUAAAACAUUAAAAAAGAAAAGAAAAGAUGGCUUCUAGUCCAGCUUCUACUACUACUCUUCUCCCAUUGAGGUCAGUGAGACCUGUGGUGUCAGCUUCUUGGUAUGCAACCAAAAGAGAAAAGGAAAUGAGUUUUCAAAGAAAAUUGAAUUUAUCUCUUUUCACUGCCCCAAAGAUUUAGUAGAUGUUAAUGGCUUAAUAUAGUUUUUAUUAACUGAAUUAAUUUUUUAACGAAAAGAAUUUAAAUAAUUAUUUAAAAAUAUGGAGAUAUGGUGUCUUAACUCAGAGGUGUGAGUUAUUGACAUCAUAAUGGGGAAGAUAUGUAAGUAGGCUCUUGGUAAGUCUUCCAACCACUGUCAGUAACUGCCUACUAUUUCAUUUUCCACUGUUACAUGUCAACAUUUUCUUACUAUUUUUAACAACACCAUUUUUUAAUAGCACCAUUUUUAUAAAAUAUACAAUAUUGAAAAUAAGUGGAAUAUAACCCACAAGUAGUGUAAAUACUUUAAUAUUUAGUUUUCUGCUAUAAUAAUGCCACAUAAUCAACAAUUUCAAAAUCUCAGUAAUUUAAAGUAACAAAUGAUUAUGGUUUUUGCUCCCAAGUCUGCAGGUUAUUUGGGGUAGCCUCUCCUUCAUGCUGUGGUUUACCUGAGCUUGACUCCUGGCUGUGGGGAUGAAGUCACAUCUGAUCCAUUUUCUUCAAUCAGUGGCUACUCAAGAAACCACCUGGAGGCCAUGUUUCACCCAUUCUGUGAAGGCACAGCUGACCUCAUAUCUCAUCUCCAGGGGUCUAUGUGGUAGGGAACUGAAGCCUCCUGUCAACAUCUAUGUGAGUGAGUAAAACUGGAAAGCAGAUCCUUUAUCCCUAAAUGACUGCAAUACUGGUCAACAGCUUGACUACAGCCUAUGAGAUGCCUGAGAUAGAACUUUCCUGUUAAGCUUCAUCAGAAUCUUGACCCUCAGAAACUGUGUGAGGAUUCUUGCCCCUUCUCUCCAUGAAGAAUUCCAGUCUGCAUCCACAAAAGGUAUUUCCUCCUUCCUUACCCUACCACUAGAUUUAGUCUUCCUCUGUUGGCACUUUUAGCAUGCUUUGCAUAUUCCUAGUAUCCAACAUUUGUUACAUUAUUUUGUCACUUUUUGCUUCAUUUGCUUCAUGAAAUCUUGAAGGACUGUGAAAUCUUGGAGGAUGGGGAUUUUUAUCUUGUUUAUAUUUGUAUACCUAGUACUUGUAACUGAGAGAGAAUCAAUCUUCUUGCACAGAAUCUAUACCAACAUGGAAACAUAAUUCAAUAUGUUUUUUGAGUUACUAAAUGGAAAUUAUGAUUUCUAUAAUGCUAGUGAACAACUCAGAUUUUACUGAAGAUUAAGUGGGAAAGUAGAGGUUACAUAAUAUUAGUAUGUAUCAAUUUUUCUCCAAAAAUCUUCACUAGCCAUCUCUUCCCAGAGUACCUUCUUAGUUAACCUUUCUUAACCUUUUCCCUAAUCUCUCUCCAAACCUUCCUGUCUCCAACCUUCUAUGCUAUUGAUAUGUCUCUUUUUUUUUAUAAUAGUGAACAAUUUAGCUCGAAGUUUUCUUCUUUACUACUAUAUCCUAAUAUUCACUAUGCCACCUCAGCAUCUUUUAAAUCUAUGUGUUUUAAAUAAAGAGCAGAUUACCCUUACUACAAGGAUUUUCUUUUUUAAAAAUAUUUUCCCUCCACUUCUAAUAGAUAAUAAAAGUGCUUGUUCAAAGUAUGAAUGAUUGGGGCACCUGGGUGGCUCAAUGGGUCAAGCAGCUCACUCUUUAUUUUGGCUCAGAUCAUGAUCUCAGGGUCUUGAGAUGAAGCCCCU